rnacentral:rRNA from 1 species
UACGUAGGGGGCAAGCGUUGUCCGGAAUCAUUGGGCGUAAAGAGCGUGUAGGCGGCCCGAUAAGUCCGCUGUGAAAGUCAAAGGCUUAACCUUUGAAAGUCAGUGGAUACUGCCGGGCUAGAGUCCGGAAGAGGCGAGUGGAACUCCUGGUGUAGCGGUGGAAUGCGCAGAUAUCAGGAGGAACACCAAUGGCGAAGGCAGCACUCUGGGACGUGACUGACGCUGAGACGCGAAAGCGUGGGGAGCAAACAGG